AAGAAGCCACCAUUCCACUAUUGGCAGCCUACUUCAAGGAUGAUCCAGAUGAUCUGUUUCGUGUUCUUGAAGAAGGUACAAGCAUCACGGAAGUGAUGGACGAGUUUCCAUCUACACCAGUUGUGGUUUCAUUAGGAGGCAUCUUUGAGAAGAAAUGUUUUGUUGUUUGCGAGCAGCAGCUGUUGUUUACGGAGAGCACUGGCUUCA